AUUGAACGCUGGCGGCAGGCUUAACACAUGCAAGUCGAGCGGAGAUGAGGUGCUUGCACCUUAUCUUAGCGGCGGACGGGUGAGUAAUGCUUAGGAAUCUGCCUAUUAGUGGGAGACAACAUUCCGAAAGGAAUGCUAAUACCGCAUACGCCCGACGGGGGAAAGCAGGGGAGCUUCGGACCUUGCGCUAACAGAUGAGGCUAAGGCGGCUUAGAAAGUUGGUGGGGUAAAGGCCUACCAAGGCGACGAUCUGUAGCGGGUCUGAGAGGAUGAUCCGCCACACUGGGACUGAGACACGGCCCAGACUCCUACGGGAGGCAGCAGUGGGGAAUAUUGGACAAUGGGCGGAAGCCUGAUCCAGCCAUGCCGCGUGUGUGAAGAAGGCCUUUUGGUUGUAAAGCACUUUAAGCGAGGAGGAGGCUACCCGGAUUAAUACUCUAGGAUAGUGGACGUUACUCGCAGAAUAAGCACCGGCUAACUCUGUGCCAGCAGCCGCCGUAAGAC
rnacentral:rRNA from 1 species